rnacentral:rRNA from 1 species
CCUACGGGUGGCAGCAGUCGAGAAUCAUUCACAAUGGGGGAAACCCUGGUGGUGCGACGCCGCGUGGGGGAAUGAAGGUCUUCGGAUUGUAAACCCCUGUCAUGUGGGAGCAAAUUAAAAAGAUAGUACCACAAGAGGAAGAGACGGCUAACUCUGUGCCAGCAGCCGCGGUAAUACAGAGGUCUCAAGCGUUGUUCGGAAUCACUGGGCGUAAAGCGUGCGUAGGCUGUUUCGUAAGUCGUGUGUGAAAGGCGCGGGCUCAACCCGCGGACGGCACAUGAUACUGCGAGACUAGAGUAAUGGAGGGGGAACCGGAAUUCUCGGUGUAGCAGUGAAAUGCGUAGAUGUCGAGAGGAACACUCGUGGCGAAGGCGGGUUCCUGGACAUUAACUGACGCUGAGGCACGAAGGCCAGGGGAGCGAAAGGGAUUAGAUACCCGAGUAGUC